rnacentral:rRNA from 1 species
UGGGGAAUUUUCCGCAAUGGGGGCAACCCUGACGGAGCAACGCCGCGUGGGGGAGGAAUGUCUGUGGAUUGUAAACCCCUUUUCUCUGGGAAGAAGGUCUGACGGUACCAGAGGAAUCAGCAUCGGCUAACUCCGUGCCAGCAGCCGCGGUAAGACGGAGGAUGCAAGCGUUAUCCGGAAUUACUGGGCGUAAAGGGCGCGUAGGCGGUCUGUUGCGUCAGGUGUGAAAGCCCCGGGCUCAACCUGGGAGGUGCACUUGAUACGGGCGGACUGGAAUCCGGGAGAGGAUGGUGGAAUUCCCAGUGUAGAGGUGAAAUUCGUAGAUAUUGGGAAGAACACCGAUGGCGAAGGCAGCCAUCUGGCCCGGUAUUGACGCUGAGGCGCGAAAGCGUGGGGAGCAAACAGGAUUAGAUACCCCUGUAGUCC